rnacentral:rRNA from 2 species
AGUUCUGGUGUCAGCCGCCGCGGUAAUACCAGCUCCCCGAGUGGUUGGGACGAUUAUUGGGCCUAAAGCAUCCGUAGCCCGCUCUGUAGGUCUUAUGUUAAAACCAAUUGCUUAACAAUUGGAUCGCAUGAGAUACCACAAAACUAGGAGGCGGGAGAGGUGGACGGUACUCCACGGGUAGGGGUAAAAUCCUCUGAACCAUGGAAGACCACCAGUGGCGAAGGCGGUCCACCAGAACGCGCUCGACGGUGAGGGAUGAAAGCUGGGGUAGCGGACCGGAUUAGAUACCCGGGUAGUCCCAGCUGUAAACGAUGCAAGCUAGGUGAUGCAUUAGCCAUGUGUUAAUGCAGUGCCGCAGGGAAGCCGUUAAGCUUGCCGCCUGGGGAGUACGGUCGCAAGGCUGAAACUUAAAGGAAUUGGCGGGGGAGCACCA